rnacentral:rRNA from 1 species
UACAGAGGGGGGCAAGCGUUGUUCGGAAUUACUGGGCGUAAAGGGCGCGUAGGCUGCCUUCUAAGUCGAACGUGAAAUCCCUGGGCUCAACCCAGGAACUGCGUCCGAUACUGGAAGGCUUGAAUCCGGGAGAGGGAUGCGGAAUUCCAGGUGUAGCGGUGAAAUGCGUAGAUAUCUGGAGGAACACCGGUGGCGAAGGCGGCAUCCUGGACCGGCAUUGACGCUGAGGCGCGAAAGCCAGGGGAGCAAACGGG